CGGGACGGGUGAGUAAUGUCUGGGAAACUGCCUGAUGGAGGGGGGUAACUACUGGAAACGGUAGCUAAUACCGCAUAACGUCUUCGGACCAAAGUGGGGGACCUUCGGGCCUCACGCCAUCGGAUGUGCCCAGAUGGGAUUAGCUAGUAGGUGGGGUAAUGGCUCACCUAGGCGACGAUCCCUAGCUGGUCUGAGAGGAUGACCAGCCACACUGGAACUGGGACACGGUCCAG
rnacentral:rRNA from 1 species